rnacentral:rRNA from 1 species
GACGAACGCUGGCGGCGUGCCUAAUACAUGCAAGUAGAACGCUGAAGCUUGGUGCUUGCACCGAGCGGAUGAGUUGCGAACGGGUGAGUAACGCGUAGGUAACCUGCCUGGUAGCGGGGGAUAACUAUUGGAAACGAUAGCUAAUACCGCAUAAGAGUAGAUGUUGCAUGACAUUUGCUUAAAAGGUGCAAUUGCAUCACUACCAGAUGGACCUGCGUUGUAUUAGCUAGUUGGUGAGGUAACGGCUCACCAAGGCAACGAUACAUAGCCGACCUGAGAGGGUGACCGGCCACACUGGGACUGAGACACGGCCCAGACUCCUACGGGAGGCAGCAGUAGGGAAUCUUCGGCAAUGGACGGAAGUCUGACCGAGCAACGCCGCGUGAGUGAAGAAGGUUUUCGGAUCGUAAAGCUCUGUUGUAAGAGAAGAACGAGUGUGAGAGUGGAAAGUUCACACUGUGACGGUAUCUUACCAGAAAGGGACGGCUAACUACGUG